rnacentral:rRNA from 1 species
GUCUUUGGCCAUACCACUCUGAACGUGCCUAAUCUUGUCUUAUCUUGGAAGCUAAGCAGAGUUGGGCCUGGUUAGUACCUGGAUGGGAGAGUAGAGGGAGGUGUAAGCUAUUUUAGAGU